rnacentral:rRNA from 1 species
UACGUAGGCAGCGAGCGUUGUUCGGAGUUACUGGGCGUAAAGGGUGUGUAGGCGGUUGUUUUAAGUUUGGUGUGAAAUCUCCCGGCUCAACUGGGAGGGUGCGCCGAAUACUGAAUGACUUGGAGUGCGGGAGAGGAAAGUGGAAUUCCCGGUGUAGUGGUGAAAUGCGUAGAUAUCGGGAGGAACACCAGUGGCGAAGGCGACUUCCUGGCCUGUUCUUGACGCUGAGGCGCGAAAAGCUAGGGGAGCAAACGGGG